rnacentral:sRNA from 1 species
GUGAGAUGUUUAACAAACAAAACCCCUUUGUUUGACCUGAAACUUUCUCCCAUCCCCCCCUUGUCUAGAAAUAGACUAGGUGAAGCGAGUGUACAUUAAUGUACACUCGCUUUU